UACGUAGGGUCCGAGCGUUGUCCGGAUUAUUGGGCGUAAAGAGCUCGUAGGCGGUGUGUCACGUCGGCCGUGAAAACCUGCAGCUUAACUGUGGGCGUGCGGUCGAUACGGGCAUCACUGGAGUUCGGCAGGGGAGACUGGAAUUCCUGGUGUAGCGGUGGAAUGCGCAGAUAUCAGGAGGAACACCGGUGGCGAAGGCGGGUCUCUGGG
rnacentral:rRNA from 1 species